GACGAACGCUGGCGGCGUGCUUAGCACAUGCAAGUCGAACGGAGAGGCCCUGCUUUUGUGGGGUGCUCGAGUGGCGAACGGGUGAGUAACACGUGAGUAACCUGCCCUUGACUUUGGGAUAACUUCAGGAAACUGGGGCUAAUACCGGAUAGGAGCUCCUGCUGCAUGGUGGGGGUUGGAAAGUUUCGGCGGUUGGGGAUGGACUCGCGGCUUAUCAGCUUGUUGGUGGGGUAGUGGCUUACCAAGGCUUUGACGGGUAGCCGGCCUGAGAGGGUGACCGGCCACAUUGGGACUGAGAUACGGCCCAGACUCCUACGGGAGGCAGCAGUGGGGAAUAUUGCACAAUGGGCGGAAGCCUGAUGCAGCAACGCCGCGUGCGGGAUGACGGCCUUCGGGUUGUAAACCGCUUUCGCCUGUGACGAAGCGUGAGUGACGGUAAUGGGUAAAGAAGCACCGGCUAACUACGUG
rnacentral:rRNA from 1 species